UACGGGGGGGGUAAGCGUUGUUCGGAAUUACUGGGCGUAAAGGGCUCGUAGGCGGCCAACUAAGUCAUACGUGAAAUCCCUCAGCUUAACUGGGGAACUGCGUGUGAUACUGGAUGGCUUGAAUUCGGGAGAGGGAUGCAGAAUUCCAGGUGUAGCGGUGAAAUGCGUAGAUAUCUGGAGGAAUACCGGUGGCGAAGGCGGCAUCCUGGACCGACAUUGACGCUGAUGAGCGAAAGCUAGGGGAGCAAACGGG
rnacentral:rRNA from 1 species